GAAAAAGAAAUGACUAAUCUAAAAGCCCCUGGAUAAUUAGUUCCUUCCUGAAAAUGGAGGAAAAGUUUGGUAAAGAAAGAUUCCAGGCUGAGAGGAUUGUUACAUUUUUUUUUUAACGACAUGAAAAGCCUAACAAACAACAUAGCAAAAAUAAAUAAUGUAUAAACUAUUCUAUUUAAACUUAUAUUAUUUAUAGUCACUCUAUAUUAAUCACUUCUAAGAUAAAUAAAAUCUUCAUGGAAACAGCAGGCAAAAACAUUGGCUGACUAUUUCUCUCGUAUGAAAUGCUAAACUAUGAAAUUCAACUAUAUUUGGAAAAUUCAAUUAUAUAUUUAUUUCUUAAGAACAACUAAUAAACUUAUAGACAAACUCAUGUAAAAAUUCAAUAACAUUUGAAAGGUAAAUAAACAGUGCUAAUGAGCAUUAUUACAAUCCUUUCCCAUGUGUGAUGUAUGUUUGUGACUAACAUCUGUUGAGAUUAGGAAAACUUAUUAUAUUAAAAUACAGGGAAAUUUUACUUGAUAAAUUAAUCUAGAUGGGAAAUCUAUUUUUAAAAAGUUUCAUUUGUGAAAAGGUAUAAAUACCUGGUCACACACAGUUACAUUUUGUUGAUAGAAAUAGACUUUAUUAGAUCAGUAGAAUCAGGCAAUAAUGACGUGGUCACCAAGACACUUUGAGAAGUAGCCAUGAUGAAGAGGAAGAAGUCAUCAAGUUUUUCAUUCUUACAACCACAAAAGAGAGGGAAGAAAUGGGGUUCCACUGGGACAACAACAGCGGUCGUACAGAAAUGGCUGGGUGGGGAUCAAAGGACACGGUAAGCCUAGGAACCCAGGAAUUCCCUGGGCAGAUCUCCGUCUGUGGUUUGUCCCGAGGGCACCAUCAUGGCCAACAUAAGUAAACCAGCUGUUUGUGGAUCCAUGUUGCCUUACCCGUGCUGUGUUCUUAUAGAUCCCUCGGCAAAGUCCAUGCCCCCUAGCUACCCACAGUGCGACACUAGUGCUCUACUGUCUAGGUAUGUCAGCAUCACAGUAAGAAUGCCCGCGCAUCCAAACCAUGAUGGGUAAAGGAGGCUUUGGAAAUCAGCUAGCCACAGCAAGGGAAGCAAUUGAAGUCGUUAACUUUUUUUCUUCCAGCACAGAAAAGGGCAUUUUCUUUGUCCUCAAGUGACCAAAAAAUGCUUUUAAACACUCGAGGGGAAGUAGUUUGCAAAUGGCCAGCAUGUUGAUGGUCGUUAUCCAUUUGGCUCCCAUUUCCCAGGCUGGAGAAGCCUGUGUGUGCAGUCCCUCAGCACGGCCUUCUGAAGGCGCACCUCCUGCAGAGGUGUUGACGGGAAAGGCGAGGAAGAGGGGAUAAUGUGACCUGCUUUUACCAGGAAGCUUCAGAUCAUUUCCCUUUGUCUCUGUGCCCCUUUGGGAGAUUUUGAUCCAAUUUGCUGUGGUGAGAAGAAGCUCUCAACAUUACAAG